CGAGACUGAAGAAGCAAUUCCUAAAGACAUUGAACCCUAGGUAUUGUUGUCGAAGCAUUGUCAUUUUUCCUCCGUGUCUAUGACCACCGUCUCACCACUACAUCUUCAAACUAAUCUCCUUCAUCUCUCCAUUGUGUGUCGUUUGAUGUUGUGUGGCGUUCGGUGACGGAGUUCGUCAAAGACGGUGACGAAGUUUGUUGUUGUUAUUGGUUAAGGUGACGCUCACUGGGUCCUAUUCGAUUGAGGCGAUUAUAUUGAUGUUUAAGAAGAUUCGAAGGUAUAAGCUUGCGUUUCCUGAUGUUGUGUACUUGGUUGAUGCAAUUGAAAGGGGAGAAGAGCUUAUCAAAGCGUGAGCUGAAUCUUACCAAACCUGGUGACGCAAGCCUCCCAUAAGGAAUGAAUUGAAUGUAACAACCAAAGAAGUUCUUAGUCAAGCAGAUUUCAGGGUUAGCACUUGUGUCAGAGUAGUUCCUUUAUAUUAAUGCAUCUACCAUGUACUUGUGGCAGCAAUAUUUUCUUUUAAAUGGAUUAUUUUAGUAGUUAAAUGUAUAUAUUGUUGAAAUUAAAUUAAGAACCCAU
rnacentral:sRNA from 1 species